rnacentral:rRNA from 1 species
AUUGAACGCUGGCGGCAGGCCUAACACAUGCAAGUCGAGCGGAUGAAGGGAGCUUGCUCCUGGAUUCAGCGUCGGACGGGUGAGUAAUGCCUAGGAAUCUGCCUGGUAGUGGGGGAUAACGUCCGGAAACGGGCGCUAAUACCGCAUACGUCCUGAUGGAGAAAGUGGGGGAUCUUCGGACUUCACGCUAUCAGAUGAGCCUAGGUCGGAUUAGCUAGUUUGUGGGGUAAAGGCCUACCAAGGCGACGAUCCGUAACUAGUCUGAGAGGAUGAUCAGUCACACUGGAAAUGAGACACGGUCCAGGAGCCUACGGGACGUAGCAGUGGGGAAUCUUUGGCAAUGGGCGGAAGUAGGCUCCAGUCAGAUCGCGUGUGUGGAAGAGGUCUUCGGAUUGUAAAGCUCAUUAAGUUGGGAGGAAGGGCAGUAAGUUAAUACCUUGCUGUUUUGACGUUACCAACAGAAUAAGCACCGGCUAACUUCGUG